rnacentral:rRNA from 1 species
UACGGAGGGUGCAAGCGUUAAUCGGAAUUACUGGGCGUAAAGCGUGCGUAGGCGGAUACUUUAGUCGGAUGUGAAAGCCCCGGGCUCAACCUGGGAAUUGCAUCCGAUACUGGGUGUCUAGAGUGUGGUAGAGGGGGGUAGAAUUCCUGGUGUAGCGGUGAAAUGCGUAGAUAUCAGGAGGAAUACCGGUGGCGAAGGCGACCCCCUGGACCAACACUGACGCUGAGGUACGAAAGCGUGGGUAGCAAACAGG